CCCUUAGAUGCUCUGGGCCGCACGCGCGCUACACUGGUCGAUGCAACGAGUUUCUUUCCUUGGCCGACAGGCCUGGGCAAUCUUUGAACAUCGAUCGUGAUCGGGAUAGAUUCUUGUAAUUUUUGAUCUUAAACGAGGAAUUCCUAGUAAACGCAAGUCAUCAGCUUGCAUUGAUUACGUCCCUGCCCUUUGUACACACCGCCCGUCGCACCUACCGAUUGAAUGGUCCGGUGAAAUCUUCGGAUCUGAGAGAUGUCUGAUUAAUUUCGGACGCCUUUUGGAAAAGUUGCUUAAACCUUACCAUUUAGAGGAAGGUGAAGUCGUAACA
rnacentral:rRNA from 1 species